AUGGCUCAGUGAGGCUUCCGGACUGGCCGCGGAAGAUCGGCAACGAUCAUCCAUGGCCGGAAAGUUAUCCAAACUCGGUCAUUUAGAGGAAGUAAAAGUCGUAACAAGGUCUCCGUUGGUGAACCAGCGGAGGGAUCAUU
rnacentral:rRNA from 1 species